UUUAAUACUUGUAAAGUAAACACCGUGCAAAUUGGCUAUAGGAACAAUUAAUAAUAUUGUUGCAAUAGCAACCGUACUUGAUGAUAGCAAUGGUGGUCCCAAUGUUAAAAUCUUGGUGGACUUGCUCACAGGAGGAGAUUGUAGUUUACCUAUUCCAGUGAAGGGCAAGAUAGAGACUUUAAAUCAAGCAUUAGAGGAUUAAAAACAUGGCAAGCUAAGCAUGAUUUACAACAUUAUCGGUCAAAUCCGAAAUGGAAACCUAUAAAGGUAAUUUGCAUUGACACAUAAUUAUUUUCAAUGAAACAUAAGAAUAAUUUGUAUGUAAUUUAUAUACAUGCAGUGUCCUCGUCAAUUGGAUUCGGUUGGGUGUGGGUAUUAUGUCCAAAAGUAUAUACAUGAAAUCAUGCAUAUUUCUAUUUAAUACAAAAAAGUGCAUAUACGCAAGAGGAGAUUGACGAGAUUCGAACAAAAUAUGCAAGCUUUGUUAGCCGAUUUGUGUAAGCUUUUACACUUUUUUUGUAGUAUAUAAGUUACUAGUACUAAUACUAAUUGUUUUAAUAUAUAAGCUACGAGAUUCUAGUA